rnacentral:rRNA from 1 species
AGUGAACGCUGGCGGCGUGCCUAAUACAUGCAAGUCGAACGGAGUGGCGCACGGGCGAGUAAGGUAUAGCUAAUCUGCCCUACACUAGAGGAGAACAGAUGGAAACGACUGCUAAUACUCUAGAGUGUAGGUUGAGGCUACAUAGUAUAAGCUAGUUGGUGAGGUAAUGGCUUACCAAGGUUAUGAGGCAUAACUUGUCUGAGAGGCUGAUCACCCACGCUGGCACUGAGACACAGUGCGGACUCCUACGGGAUGCAGCAGUAGGGGAUAUUGCUCAAUGGGGGGAGCCCUGAAGCAGCAACGCCGCGUGGAGGAUGACAAUUUUCGGGGCGUGACCUCCUUUUAUUAGGGAAACGGUACCUAACGAAUAAGCACCGGCUAACUCCGUGCCAGCAGCCGCGGUAAUAC